rnacentral:rRNA from 1 species
UACGUAGGGGGCAAGCGUUGUCCGGAAUCAUUGGGCGUAAAGCGCGUGUAGGCGGCUCGAUAAGUCUGCUGUGAAAGUUCAGGGCUCAACCCUGAAAUGCCGGUGGAAACUGUCGAGCUAGAGUCCGGAAGAGGCGAGUGGAAUUCCUGGUGUAGCGGUGAAAUGCGCAGAUAUCAGGAGGAACACCAAUGGCGAAGGCAGCUCGCUGGGACGGUACUGACGCUGAGACGCGAAGGCGUGGGGAGCAAACAGG